rnacentral:misc_RNA from 1 species
UUGAUUUAUUUAUAAAUCACUCAGACUGCAAAGUUACGCAAGAGUUUGGUUUGGUCCACCGGGGGGACUAGCCCGAAGGCAGGGUCACCCCCGAGGCAACGCGGUCGGACAACAAAGGGUGUGACAUUUCCUCGGGGACCGAAGUCCGCACCGAGUCUGUGUUACGGUUAAUGAUCCCUCCGCAGGUUCACCUACGGAGA